rnacentral:rRNA from 1 species
UACGAAGGGGCUAGCGUUGCUCGGAAUCACUGGGCGUAAAGCGCACGUAGGCGGCUUCUAAGUCAGGGUGAAAUCCUGGAGCUCAACUCCAGAACUGCCUUUGAUACUGGAGAGCUUGAGUCCGGGAGAGGUGGAGUGGAACCCGAGUGUAGAGGUGAAAUUCGUAGAUAUUCGCAAGAACACCAGUGGCGAAGGCGGCUCACU